AUACGGAGGGUACGAACGUUAUUCGGAAUUAUUGGGCGUAAAGGGCGCGUAGGCGGCCUGACAAGUCAAAGGUGAAAUCCCUCGGCCUAACCGAGGAACUGCCUUUGAAACUGCCAGGCUUGAGGCCGGGAGAGGGUAGUGGAAUUCCCAGUGUAGCGGUGAAAUGCGUAGAUAUUGGGAGGAACACCAGUGGCGAAGGCGACUACCUGGACCGGUACUGACGCUGAGGCGCGAAAGCGUGGGGAGCAAACAGGAUUAGACACCCCAGUAGUCC
rnacentral:rRNA from 1 species